rnacentral:rRNA from 1 species
UUAAGCGACUAAGCGUACACGGUGGAUGCCCUGGCAGUCAGAGGCGAUGAAGGGCGUGCUAAUCUGCGAUAAGCGCCGGUAAGGUGAUAUGAACCGUUAUAACCGGCGAUACCCGAAUGGGGAAACCCAGUGUGACUCGUCACACUAUCAUUAACUGAAUCCAUAGGUUAAUGAGGCGAACCGGGGGAACUGAAACAUCUAAGUACCCCGAGGAAAAGAAAUCAACCGAGAUUCCCCCAGUAGCGGCGAGCGAACGGGGAGGAGCCCAGAGCCUGAAUCAGCAUGUGUGUUAGUGGAAGCGUCUGGAAAGGCGCGCGAUACAGGGUGACAGCCCCGUACACAAAAGCGCAUGUGCUGUGAGCUCGAUGAGUAGGGCGGGACACGUGGUAUCCUGUCUGAAUAUGGGGGGACCAUCCUCCAAGGCUAAAUACUCCUGACUGACCGAUAGUGAACCAGUACCGUGAGGGAAAGGCGAAAAGAACCCCGGCGAGGGGAGUGAAAAAGAACCUGAAACCGUGUACGUACAAGCAGUGGGAGCACCCUUUGGGUGUGACUGCGUACCUUUUGUAUAAUGGGUCAGCGACUUAUAUUCUGUAGCAAGGUUAACCGAAUAGGGGAGCCGGAGGGAAACCGAGUCUUAAUUGGGCGUUAAGUUGCAGGGUAUAGACCCGAAACCCGGUGAUCUAGCCAUGGGCAGGUUGAAGGUUGGGUAACACUAACUGGAGGACCGAACCGACUAAUGUUGAAAAAUUAGCGGAUGACCUGUGGCUGGGGGUGAAAGGCCAAUCAAACCGGGAGAUAGCUGGUUCUCCCCGAAAGCUAUUUAGGUAGCGCCUCGUGAAUUCAUCUCCGGGGGUAGAGCACUGUUUCGGCUAGGGGGCCAUCCCGGCUUACCAACCCGAUGCAAACUGCGAAUACCGGAGAAUGUUAUCACGGGAGACACACGGCGGGUGCUAACGUCCGUCGUGAAGAGGGAAACAACCCAGACCGCCAGCUAAGGUCCCAAAGUCAUGGUUAAGUGGGAAACGAUGUGGGAAGGCCCAGACAGCCAGGAUGUUGGCUUAGAAGCAGCCAUCAUUUAAAGAAAGCGUAAUAGCUCACUGGUCGAGUCGGCCUGCGCGGAAGAUGUAACGGGGCUAAACCAUGCACCGAAGCUGCGGCAGCGACACUGUGUGUUGUUGGGUAGGGGAGCGUUCUGUAAGCCUGCGAAGGUGGCCUGUGAGGGUUGCUGGAGGUAUCAGAAGUGCGAAUGCUGACAUAAGUAACGAUAAAGCGGGUGAAAAGCCCGCUCGCCGGAAGACCAAGGGUUCCUGUCCAACGUUAAUCGGGGCAGGGUGAGUCGACCCCUAAGGCGAGGCCGAAAGGCGUAGUCGAUGGGAAACGGGUUAAUAUUCCCGUACUUGGUGUUACUGCGAAGGGGGGACGGAGAAGGCUAUGUUGGCCGGGCGACGGUUGUCCCGGUUUAAGCGUGUAGGUGUGUGUUCCAGGUAAAUCCGGUUCACUUUAACACUGAGGCGUGACGACGAGGCACUACGGUGCUGAAGCAACAAAUGCCCUGCUUCCAGGAAAAGCCUCUAAGCAUCAGGUAACAUCAAAUCGUACCCCAAACCGACACAGGUGGUCAGGUAGAGAAUACCAAGGCGCUUGAGAGAACUCGGGUGAAGGAACUAGGCAAAAUGGUGCCGUAACUUCGGGAGAAGGCACGCUGACACGUAGGUGAAGUGAUUUACUCAUGGAGCUGAAGUCAGUCGAAGAUACCAGCUGGCUGCAACUGUUUAUUAAAAACACAGCACUGUGCAAACACGAAAGUGGACGUAUACGGUGUGACGCCUGCCCGGUGCCGGAAGGUUAAUUGAUGGGGUCAGCGCAAGCGAAGCUCCUGAUCGAAGCCCCGGUAAACGGCGGCCGUAACUAUAACGGUCCUAAGGUAGCGAAAUUCCUUGUCGGGUAAGUUCCGACCUGCACGAAUGGCGUAAUGAUGGCCAGGCUGUCUCCACCCGAGACUCAGUGAAAUUGAACUCGCUGUGAAGAUGCAGUGUACCCGCGGCAAGACGGAAAGACCCCGUGAACCUUUACUAUAGCUUGACACUGAACAUUGAGCCUUGAUGUGUAGGAUAGGUGGGAGGCUUUGAAGUGUGGACGCCAGUCUGCAUGGAGCCGACCUUGAAAUACCACCCUUUAAUGUUUGAUGUUCUAACGUGGACCCGUUACCCGGGUUGCGGACAGUGUCUGGUGGGUAGUUUGACUGGGGCGGUCUCCUCCUAAAGAGUAACGGAGGAGCACGAAGGUUGGCUAAUCCUGGUCGGACAUCAGGAGGUUAGUGCAAUGGCAUAAGCCAGCUUGACUGCGAGCGUGACGGCGCGAGCAGGUGCGAAAGCAGGUCAUAGUGAUCCGGUGGUUCUGAAUGGAAGGGCCAUCGCUCAACGGAUAAAAGGUACUCCGGGGAUAACAGGCUGAUACCGCCCAAGAGUUCAUAUCGACGGCGGUGUUUGGCACCUCGAUGUCGGCUCAUCACAUCCUGGGGCUGAAGUAGGUCCCAAGGGUAUGGCUGUUCGCCAUUUAAAGUGGUACGCGAGCUGGGUUUAGAACGUCGUGAGACAGUUCGGUCCCUAUCUGCCGUGGGCGCUGGAGAACUGAGGGGGGCUGCUCCUAGUACGAGAGGACCGGAGUGGACGCAUCACUGGUGUUCGGGUUGUCAUGCCAAUGGCACUGCCCGGUAGCUAAAUGCGGAAGAGAUAAGUGCUGAAAGCAUCUAAGCACGAAACUUGCCCCGAGAUGAGUUCUCCCUGAGACUUAAAGUCUCCUGAAGGAACGUUGAAGACGACGACGUUGAUAGGCCGGGUGUGUAAGCGCAGCGAUGCGUUGAGCUAACCGGUACUAAUGAACCGUGAGGCUUAACCUU